CUCAAAAACCCUACACCCCUGUGCAUUCUUUCUUCUUCGUCUCUCAUUCUGUGAGUCGUCGCAGGGUCUGUGUAAACUGCUAAAGAUUUAGUUUGUAAUCGAAAAGGGGUUUGUGUGAAGCUGGGUUCUGUUGAUUCGUCUUGCCGUUGAAAAAUUUCGUGUUUAUGGUUGGUAAGGGGUUACGAUUUCUCUUUGGAAUGUUGAAGAAUUUUUUAUACCAGUUUUUGUAGCCUUGCUCUGCGAAGAAUUGCCCAUGAUUCGGAUUCAUAUGUACUAUUUGUACACCAUUGCCAAGAGUUUGUUAACCCACUUUUGCCAGUGACUGCAUACGUAGGGUGACGAAGUUAUAGUUAUGGUUGGAUUCAAGCCCAAAUUUUGAACUUGGAUGAAAUGAACCAAAUUAUUAAAUUUGUUUCGUAAAAUGAGUCAAAUUUUAAAACUA